UGUGUAGGCGGUUCUUUAAGUUUGGUGUGAAAUCUCCCGGCUCAACCGGGAGGGUGCGCCGAAUACUGAGGGACUAGAGUGCGGGAGAGGAAAGUGGAAUUCCUGGUGUAGCGGUGAAAUGCGUAGAUAUCAGGAGGAACACCGGUGGUGUAGACGGCUUUCUGGACCGUAACUGACGCUGAAACACGAAAGCGUGGGUAGCAAACAGGAUUAGAUACCCUGGUAGUCCACGCCCUAAACGAUGCAUAUUUGGUGUGGGUCAUUCAGUUGAUCCGUGCCGGAGCUAACGCGUUAAAUAUGCCGCCUGGGGAGUACAGUCGCAAGGCUGAA
rnacentral:rRNA from 1 species